CCAAUCCCCUUGUUCAUCAUCUCUAACUCAGAGACGGAACCAAACACCCCUCACCGAAAGGUCCCCUCGCCCAAAACCCGGCGGCAACAACGCCGCUGGCCACCAUCUUAACACCCCUAAGCCACUCAACCACCCUAAACACGAUUCCACCACUCGUUUGGCUCAAAUCUUCCCCCAUCUUCUCGAAUCUUCAUUUGAAGAUUCAAGCCAAACGGAAACCUAUCCCAAUCCACUUCAAACUCACACCAGACACUCCCCUGACCUCCCUCGUUACCAAACCACUCUUGGUUUGGUUCGAAUCUGACCAGAACUGUUCGAACCUCAAAUCGAACCCUCAAGAACCCUAGAAAACCAAAUGUUGAAGUUUGUCCAAUUAAAUAGAGAUUUGGGGUCUAAUCGACCUUAAUCGGAGUGUUCUCAGUUGAGAACACUUCGACUAAGGUCCGUUCGACCUCAAACUGGUCGAAGUCUGAGCUUGAGCCUGGGUCCGUCUAAUUUUAAGUUUCGGAGGUACACAACUGGUACACAUUGUAAGCUGAUAACAUGAAGCAAAAAUACGAAUGAAGAGUUUGAAGUUUUAAUUGGAUUUAGCUUUGUUACUGAUUGUUACUUAGGUUGUUCUGACACUAUUGUUCAUGUAAAAUCUGCCAUAGAACUGUAUAACUGGACAGUUUUUUUUUUUAUUUUAGUAAUUUAGUUAGCAAACUUCCCAUGUAUGCUUAGUUUAAAAAAAAGAUUGAUGGUGUAGUAACAUAUUCUGUUAUUUCAGUUUGUUUGGUGA